rnacentral:rRNA from 1 species
UACGGAGGGAGCUAGCGUUGUUCGGAAUUACUGGGCGUAAAGCGCACGUAGGCGGCUUUGUAAGUUAGAGGUGAAAGCCCGGGGCUCAACUCCGGAACUGCCUUUAAGACUGCAUCGCUUGAAUCCAGGAGAGGUGAGUGGAAUUCCGAGUGUAGAGGUGAAAUUCGUAGAUAUUCGGAAGAACACCAGUGGCGAAGGCGGCUCACUGGACUGGUAUUGACGCUGAAUAGCGAAAGCCAGGGGAGCAAACGGG